GUGGGGAAUUUUGGACAAUGGGCGAAAGCCUGAUCCAGCAAUGCCGCGUGCAGGAUGAAGGCCCUCGGGUUGUAAACUGCUUUUGUACGGAACGAAAAGCCUGGGGCUAAUAUCCCCGGGUCAUGACGGUACCGUAAGAAUAAGCACCGGCUAACUACGUGCCAGCAGCCGCGGUAAUACGUAGGGUGCAAGCGUUAAUCGGAAUUACUGGGCGUAAAGCGUGCGCAGGCGGUUUUGUAAGACAGUGGUGAAAUCCCCGGGCUCAACCUGGGAACUGCCAUUGUGACUGCAAAGCUAGAGUGCGGCAGAGGGGGAUGGAAUUCCGCGUGUAGCAGUGAAAUGCGUAGAUAUGCGGAGGAACACCGAUGGCGAAGGCAAUCCCCUGGGCCUGCACUGACGCUCAUGCACGAAAGCGUGGGGAGCAAACAGGAUUAGAAACCCUAGUAGUCC
rnacentral:rRNA from 1 species